rnacentral:rRNA from 1 species
UACGAAGGGGGCUAGCGUUGUUCGGAAUCACUGGGCGUAAAGGGCGCGUAGGCGGCUUUGUAAGUCGGGGGUGAAAGCCUGUGGCUCAACCACACAAUUGCCUUCGAUACUGUAGAGCUUGAGACCGGAAGAGGUAAGUGGAACUGCGAGUGUAGAGGUGAAAUUCGUAGAUAUUCGCAAGAACACCAGUGGCGAAGGCGGCUUACUGGUCCGGUUCUGACGCUGAGGCGCGAAAGCGUGGGGAGCAAACAGG